UACGGAGGGUGCAAGCGUUAUCCGGAUUCACUGGGUUUAAAGGGAGCGUAGGUGGGAUGGUAAGUCAGUGGUGAAAUCUCCGGGCUCAACCCGGAAACUGCCAUUGAUACUAUCUGUCUUGAAUAUCGUGGAGGUAAGCGGAAUAUGUCAUGUAGCGGUGAAAUGCUUAGAUAUGACAUAGAACACCAAUUGCGAAGGCAGCUUACUACCCGAAUAUUGACACUGAGGCACGAAAGCGUGGGGAUCAAACAGG
rnacentral:rRNA from 1 species